rnacentral:snRNA from 14 species
AUACAUAACUAGAUGGGAUCAAUGGGUGAUCAAGAAGGCCCCUGACCUAGGUUAGUGACCUUCAUUGCACUUAGGGGGGCUGCCUGCCUAACAUCUCUUGUUAUAAUUUGUGGUAGUGGAGAUUAUGGCUAUAAAAUCAAAUUUGAAUUGGAUCCAAC